GUUUUGGCAAUGCUGUUUUCUGUAAUGACUCAGGUUUAGUAAAAGUGCCAACUCACAGUGAUAUAGCCAUAGAGGUCCUAAAGAGUGCCCCAGCAGCAUCGUUAGGAGUUAGGAGACACUGUAGUCACAAAAUAACUUUAGCCUAAUAUGCAAUUCUUGUGUAUAGAUCAUGCCUCGUAGGUCUUGCUGCUCAAUCCUCUGCCAUUUAGAAGUCAAAUCACUUCUGUUUCUGUUUAUGCAGCCCUGGUCACACCUCAUCUGCCUGUGUAUUACACAGCCGCCAUAAAAAAAAUGGUUUCCUUUUCAAUCAGAUGUUAACUUGCUUUAGAUGUUUUUAUCUCCCGCUCUGUAAAUUGAACUUUACUCACACACAGGAGUCUCUCACAAGGAAUUGCAAGCCAUUAAAAGUGCAGAAAUUAUACAGACUGCAAUAAUGUAAGUUUAAACAUUAGAUCUCACUUUACAGGAAGUGUUUAGGAAGGCUCUGCACAUUAUAGGUGGGGAGGUGUGACUAGGGUUGUAUAUGGCAGAGAAUUGAGUAGUGAGUGAUUCAUUAAAUUAAAGUUGAUUUGGUGACUAUAGUGUCCAUCUUUAAUCCAUCUUAGUGGAUUGCAAGUGGUAUCACAGAAAGAGAUGUGUUUUCUGCUAGUCCAGGUUUCAUUUCUGUGUUCCUUCUCCCAUAGGCUCCAGUACAGACUGAGGGCACACAUGUAUGACAUCAUACCCGGCAAAACCACACUCUAGUUCUUGUACAUCUAUGGUGUGAUGGAAAACAGGACAGAUAGAUCUCUGCCAAAAAUUGUUCUGUGCCAUGGAGAUCACCAAUCUCAUAUUUUCUUACAAUAGAUCCUAGCGCCUUCCCCUGUAACUUUUGAGCAUUUUGUUUCAGACUGUCCUUCUAUGACAGUGUUAUGCAAUAAUGAUGUCAAGCAAUUAUUUAUCCAAUAAUAGAAUGUUUUAUCACUGACUCAAUUAGCUCAAUGCUGAUGAUCACAGAGGGAGUGACACAAAAUUGCUCUUGAAUAUGUAUUUGUUUUUGUUCUAAUUGAUUAAAAAUAGAUAUUUGACAG